rnacentral:lncRNA from 1 species
CUCAGGCUGGAGUGCAGUGGUGUGAUCUCGGCUCACUGCAACUUCCGCCUCCCGGGUUCAAGCGAUUUUCCUGCCUCAGCCUCCCAAGUAGCUGGGAUUACAGGCAUGCACCACCACGCCCGGCCAAUUUUGUAUUUUUAGUAGAGACAUGGUUUCUCCAUGUUGGUCAGGCUGGUCUCCAACUCCCGACCUCAGGUGAUCCACGUGCCUUGGCCUCCUAAAGUGCUGAGAUUACAGGCGUGAGCCACUGCGCCUGGCUGCACAAACAUUUUAAACGUCAAUAUUUUUGUGUUUAUUUUUACUAUUGUCUUCUAUUUCUGGCAAGCAAUACUGGUUUCUGGUGGCAAGGUAACCUUUCUUCUUAAAAUACAUUUGUUAUUAUAUUAUUAAAUAUUAAACCAAUUUUCAAGAAAAAUAUUAGAUAAAUAGCAGAACAGGUUGUAGAAAGAUGAAGGUCAUGUGGGGAAUGACUGAGGUUUGGGAAACAAUAUUAUAACUCCUUACUGUGCAUUUAUUAUAUGCCAGGCCCAAUGCCAAGGGCUUUACAUGUAGGUAUAGUUAUGGUUGACAGUUUUCUUCUUUUUCUUUUCUUUUUUUUUGAAACAGGGUCUUGCUCUGUCGCCCUGUCUGGAGUGCAGUGACACAAUCUCAGCUCACUACAACCUCCACCUCCUUAGUUCAAGUGAUUCUCCUGCCUCAGCCUCCCGUGUAGCUGGUCUUACAGGUGCCCACCACCACAUCCGGUAUUUUUAGUAGGGACGAGGUUUUACCAUGUUGGCGAGGCUUGUCUUGAACUCCUGACCUCAGGUGAUCCACCUUCCUUGGCCUCCCAAAGGCUGGGAUUACAGGUGUGAGCCACUGCACCUGGCCUCUUUUUUUCUUACUUAAUUUUUUUGUAGAGAUGAGGUCUAUGUUGCCCAAACUUGUCUCGAACUCCUGGCCUUAAGUGAUCCUCCCUCCUUGGCCUUCCAAAGUGCUGGGAUUGCAGACGUGAGCCAUCGUGCCCGGCCUAAUAAGUUUUCCAUUUGAGGAAACUGAGGCUUUGAGAGAUGAAGUCAUAUGCUCAAGGUCAUACAGCGAAGGGGUAGUAGAGCCAGGAUUCAAACCCAAGUCUGUGGAUCUUUAGACCUCAGUGUUCUCCCAGUCUCCCCACGGGUCCCUUUGCUUCAUCCUUUCCGAGUUUAGUUGUCUUUUUUGUUGUUGUUCUUGUUGUUGCUGUUUUUUGAUAGAGUCUCGCCCUGUUGCCCAGGCUGGAGUGCAGCGGCAUGAUCCUGGCUCACUGCAACCUCUGCCUCCUGGGUUCAAGUGAUUCUCCUGCCUCAGGCUCCCGAGUAGCUGGGAUUACAGGUAUGCGCCGCCACACCCAGCUAAUUUUUGUAUUUUUAGUAGAGAUGGAGUUUCAUCAUGUUGGUCAGGCUGGUCUGGAACUCCUGACCUCAGUGAUCUGCCCACCUUGGCCUCCCAAAGUGCUGGGAUUACAGGCGUGAGCCACUACGCCCAGUAUGUAGUUUUUUUGUGUUUUGUUUUUGUUUUUGUUUAGAGACAGGGUCUCCCUCUGUAACUCAGGCUGAAGUGCAGUGGUGUGAUCAUAGCUCUCUGUAACCUCGAACUCCUGGCCUCAAGCAAUUUUCCUGUCUUAGCCUCCCAAGUACCUGGGACUACAGGCAUGCACCACCACGCCCGGAUAAAUUUUUUUUUUUUUUAGAGACGGGGGUCUUGUUAUGUUGCUCAGGGUGGUCUCGAACUUUUGGCCUCAAGUGAUCUUCCCACAUUGGCCUCCCGAAGUGUUGGGAUCACAGAUGUGAGUCAUCAUGCCAGGCCUCAGAUUAGUGUUGAAACUGGAAGUCCAGGGAGGCCCUGUAUUUGUUCCCGAGGCAAUCAGGGUGGGGAGACGUGGGUGGAUGAGAGAAGUUUGUGAGGCAGGAUAGACACAGCAUUGUGACUGAUUGUUUGUGGGAGGUGAGUGUGUAGAAGUCCAGAGCCAUACCUGGGUGUCUGGCCUGGUGACACCGUGGGCAGUGAAAACAUCUCUGAGUUGGAAAUCAGGUAGGAUGAAGAAGACGUUUGGUUAGAUUUAGGGUGGAAGGGGCAUCCAGAGGCCGUUGGACACGUGGGUUUGGGCUCAGUUGAGGUGGCUGCACAGUAGGCAGGGUGUGGGAUCCAUUAGUGAUGUCUGCCUUGAGCACAGGCAUGGGAAGUGGCUGCCAAGGCUUGGCUAACCCUGGAAUGGGUGGUCUGUCAGCAUCUUCCCCUCAAUCAUUUCUUUCUUUUUUUUUUUUUUGAGACAGAAUCUCGCUCUGUCGCCGAGGCUGGAGUGCAGUGGCGCAAUCUUGGCUCACUACAACCUCCAUCUCCCAGAUUCAAGCGACUCUCAUGCCUCAGCCUCCCGAGUAGCUGUGAUUACAGGCAUGCACCACCACACCCGGCUAAAUUUUGUAUUUUUAGUAGAGAUGAGGUUUCACCAUGUUGGCCAGGCUGGUCUUGAACUUCUGGUCUCAAGUGAUCCGCCCUCCUCGG